ensembl:lncRNA
CGCCGUGCCGGCUAAAAAAGAAGGAUCCGGGUACUGAAAUGGCCAGCCUGCAGUCCACAUCUUUCACCCAUAGAAAACAUUUGGCGCAUCAUAAAGAGGAAGAUGUGACAAAGAAGACCUAAGACAGUUGAGCAACUAGAAGCCUGUAUUAGACAAGAAUGGGACAACAUUCCUAUUCCUAAACUUGAGCAACUUGUCUCCUCAGUCCCCAGACGUUUGCAGGGGAUGCCACACAGUGGUAAACAUGGCCUUCUCCCAACUUUUUUGAGAUGUGUUGAUGCCAUGAAAUUUAAAAUCAACUUAUUUUUCCCUUAAAAUGAUACAUUUUCUCAGUUUAAACAUUUGUUGUAUUCUGAAUAAAAAAUAGAAAUUUGAAACUUCCACAUCAUUGCAUUCUGUUUUUAUACACAAUUUGUAGUGUCCCAACUUUUUUGGAAUCGGGUUUGUACAUGAAGCAUUUCGCAUAUUUCAAUUUAAAAUGGCGAAAUUUCAUAAAAGGUUGAGUAGUUUGCAUCACUAGAUAGUCUAUUGUCGGCCGCUAAACAUUUCUAUCGUAAAACAGUUUUAUAGAUAAUGCAGUAGGCUACUACUUAAAUUUUUCUUUUGAUUUGACUGGCCAUCUUAAUCAUUUUGACAUUGACAAGUGCUGUUGGACCACUCAGGCAGACCAGCCUAGGGACGCUCAGGCCCUCGCCCGGCCCGUGUCCAACAGCUUAUCAGAAUUACUGGCCCGAGCCCGUCUUUCCCCCCUUCUACCAAAACCGCUAAUACUACUGUUUCAGCUAUUAAAAUAAUUCCGUUUUGUAUGUAAUGGCAAAGUGAUUAUAUUUCGUUUAGUUUUUUUAUUAAUUUAAUUUAGAAAAACGUUUGAACCUUUUUUUUUUUCGGUAAAUAUAAGUUUUUGUUUUUUUUACAACCAAGCGGCCAGCGGCAGACAGUGAACCAUGUUUGAUAAAUUUAGCCUUCUCAAAUCAUCACGACUUGCCUAAAAUAAAACCUAUAGAUAUAAAACA